UCCGCCGGGCCCCCCGCGCGCGCGCGCGCACGCCGGAAGCCGUCAGCGCGCGCCGCCCGCCCCGCCCCGCCCCGCCCCACCCACCGCCUGCCCGGCCCGGCCCGGCCCGUUGCCAUGGCGGCGGGUCCGCGGCGCCGAAGCGGCCCCCAGACCCAGUCCCCAGGUCGCACCAAGUCGCUUCGUAUCAGGAACAGGGUGGCCGGCAGGACCGGAGAAGCGAUUCUUCCCCCUGCACUCGGCACUGGUUAGGCCGCACCUCGGGCGCUGUGUCCAGUUCUGGGCCGCUCAGUUUAGGAAGGAUAUCGAGGUGCUGGAGCGUGUCCAAGGAAGGGCAAAGAGGCUGGUGAAGGGACACAAGUCAUGUGAGGAGCGGCUGAGGGAGCUGGGGUUGUUCAGCCUGGAAAAGAGGAGGCUCAGGGGAGACCUCAUCACUCUCUACAAUUCCCUGACAGGAGGUUGUAGCCAGAAUUACACAAUCAGUUAGGUUGGAAAAGACCUCCGAGAUCAUCGAGUCCAACCUGUGACCAAACCCCACCUUGUCAAGUAGACCAUGGCACUAACUAACUUUCUUCCAUGCCAUGAGCUAUGUCAGUCCACUACCAACAGCAGCCUGUUACAGAAACAAUUCACAUCAAGAUAUGGAGAAUGAGGAUACAACAGGGCAUCACCUAGUAGGACAAAGAGGCUAUGGAAACAAACAUGGACUAAUCCAGUGGCAUGCAGAUGUGAUGGAAGGACAUCCUGGUCACUCUGCAGCAGCUUUACCUGAGUAUGGGUUUCUUUCUAAUAUAGAUGUGAUCCGCGUUUUAAUCUACUUUUCAGGGAAUGAUGUUUUGAUAUUUGUACAACCAAAGGGUUUACGUUGCUGGUUGAAGCCAGAUGUGUAAAGCAAUUGCCUUAAAAGCCUGCUCUUUGUCCAGAAAAGUUAAUUAAUCUGUAUAUCUGAAAUCACUUGGCUUGUUGAACCCAACAUAGAGGGCUCACUCAGGGAAACUACACCCUGUUUACUGCUCUGCCGUUGGACUUGCUGGGUAAUUCUGGACAAAGCACUUAGCCCAUCUAUAUCUUAGUUCCAAUAAGCUGGAUAUAGUACCCUGCCAUACCAUACUAAUGCUCAUGAAUUAAGCAUCUGCAGUCUCUGAAUGUGAAAUGUUUCAUUUGGGGUUGAAAUCACCUUGAUUUGUCAGAUGGAAUGAUUCAGCUAUGCCUCCUUAUGUACAGUGAUGGCAAAAUUUACUCUGCUGUGAGGCAAACUACAUUUUCGUUUGGCAGACCUGAAGUAAAAAAGAACAAACUGCCUCCACUAACUUUUCUGAGGUUAGAUAUUCACUAGAUCCUUAUAUAUGUUUAAGAUUUUAAUUUUUAUAACAUGUAACUUUUUAAUAACGUUUUGUAGCUUUUAUCACAUGAGCCUUUUCCUACCAGGGAUUUACACUGUUAGCUAAAGAAAACGCUGUAUGACAAAAGGUUAUUUUGAGAACUGCCAGCAGAAAUUGUGGUCUAAUUAAAGUCACUCAAGAAAUAGUGAUAUUGAGGUCUGUUAAGUAUAAAUAUGGUUAAUUUGCUGUUCAUAACACAGCAUAUAAGAUUACGUAUCAAAGGGAUGCAAGUUCUGCACUGGAAGUACCAGAACUUACACACUGCAUGGUACAGUCAGUAAAUUCAUCACUCCUCUUGCUACCAGCUGUUGCUGUUAGCUUUGGACAGCCUUAAAAGAUUUUUGUUUUGUACUAAAGGUCAUGUACAACACAGGAGAGGAAAUACAGUGUGGUUUGAACAGACAUCUAUUUUAAAACUUAGUUUACUCAUUAAGUUGAACUGAGAUAUUACUUCUUGUUCUGAAGAAAAAAUAAAACAGUGUCUGUAGGAAGAAAGUUGCAGAGCACGGUAAGAACCUUUUCAGAACCAGGAAAGGAAGUUUUGUCGUGGUCUGUACUCGUCAACUUCAUUUGCUGUGAGCAGGGUAACACAGAAUGAGAUUUAGUUUAACUACACCCAAAAUACACAGGAAUUGGUAUUUCUUUCGUAGGUCAGUCACUUGAUACAAAGAGAUGGAAAAGCUUAAAAAUCAAUGAAUUGAUGGGUACCAUAUAAAUUUGAAUUAUCUUUUUUCUGUAUAUAUUGCACAUAUUCCAUUCUGUGUAUGUUCCAGUUAGUGCAGCUUGCUUAGAAGGUUGUAAAGAAAUAAGCAAAGAGAAGAAAAAAAAAAAUCCUAUCUUCAGCGUAAUUUUGUAUAUAUGCUUCAUAACUUGGGGGUUUUGCAGGAAGAUGAAAAGUAACCUGUGCAUAAUAUUGUGUAAAUAGAUUUGUGUUCCAAAAAGCUAGUGUCUGCUUGCUGCUGCUCCUUGUAAAAGCCAUGGAGAGAACAACCCACAGUUUCCUGGUAGGAGAAGGUGUGGCCGCUUGCUGUGACUUUUGUGAGUGAGCAAGACUUUGUGAUAGAAGGUAAUAAAAAUAUGAUGACUAAACAGAGUGCUGAAGCUUAUCAGAUAAAGCACUACCACCACCUUACCCUGAGUUUAAUGGACUUCUAUGAACUUGCCAAUUAAGUGCUCCGUGCUUAUCCUAAUGCGCAGGCAUAGAGAACCCGUACAGAGGCAGGAAAUACUCUGAACAGAAAGGGAAAAUGAGUUAUUGGGACAGCUGUCCCACACCCUGCUCAGUAUGGCAGAGAAAGGAGGGUCUGGAAGGAACUGGCGAUAUCUCACACACAGCAAAGCAAACAGUGCAUUCCUUAGUCCCACUUCCACUUCCCACAGAGCCAUCUCUCUCAGUGUAGGGGGAUGGGGUUUGCACCUACAAACUCUGUGCUGUCUGGAGAAACUGAGGUCAGUUCCUAUGCUGAUGAGGCUGGUUACCAUGUUGUAUUGGCAGGGCAGGAGGAAGAUAUUCUACCUAAGAAUUAGCCUUAAUCUUUUCUCUCCCAUAACCUGUUUUGCUUCUUAUUGAGGCAUUUUGCCUUUGUCUUGGAAUUACGUCAUUACUUUACCAAAAAUAGCAGACUAGAAAUAUUCAUGGAAAUUGUCCCCUGACUAAGCACUGGGUAUCAUUUUCUGGAUUUAUGAAAGUGUGGGUAAACAUUUAGGAAGUCUGAAUACUUCUGAAUAAAUCAUGGUUUAAAGGGCAAAUAAGCCCUCAACAGGUACACUUCCAACAUUGUCUGACUACCUCAUUAGCAUUAAGGGACUCUGACCUUCACCAAAUCCCGGUUAUCUAACUUUCCUGGUUAUCACAACCAACCUUGCUCAGGUGCCAGAGGCAGUGUGGUCAUGGUAGCCCAUGCAGGAUUAAUUUUCCUGGUAGGAAAAGACAACUCAGUUUUCAAGCUGCAUCUGACAAGAGUGCUCAGAAGGCCUGGAUUUCUGUGAAGGACAAAGAGGUCUGGAUUCUCCUCCCUAUAAACACCACCCAUUCUGAGUCAUCUGAGCUGGAAGUACUGGCAUAAUUGCAAAACAUCUUCACACAGAUGGUAUGAUCCAGUGUAGCUUCCAGGAGGAUUCUUGAGUGAGGUAUUUGGCUGUUUAAUUAAAAUAUUAUGAGGACAGGUUUCUGUUGUUGGGUGUUUUUCACUAACAUGUUUUUCCUUUUUAGAAUCACAGGGUUAGACAGUAAGAACUUUUAUUUUUGUUGACUCAUUUCCAGAUAAGCAUAAGAACACAUUGUAAAGGUCACUUUGUGUCUUAAAUUCAACAAGAGUUCCGUUCCAUGUCGUGUCCCUAGCGUGUGUCCCAUCUGCCAUUCAAAACUUCUAAAACACAACUUCAAACAAAGUUAUCUUCUAGAGUUCACACACUGCAAAUCACCAUGGAUUUUGACCUCUGUAGAUGUGAUGGUGCUUUGUCACGAAGGCCCAGAUCCCUGCAGGCCAUGUACUUGUGUUGAUUUCACUGAAAGUUAGGGGCCACAAAGAAAAUGUGCCUUUACAUCUAUGGAUUCUUAUUUGAAACAGGUGAAUUUCUGACAACCUAAGUGGAAGCACUGAAAUGUGCAGAUGGGGUGUGUUGGACACGGGACUCAUGGCAAGCUUCUGGAUGCUCUGUCUGGACCCUGCUCUCCAUUGCCCUAAAUAUUUUGCACUUGUUUAGGGGUGUGCAGAGGAUGCAAAGUAUUAAUAAAUCUGAAUUCUCCACUUACGUCACCAGUAACAUUUUGAGGACGCUUUGCAGAGAUAUAAAUGGCAACCAAUGGCAUUUCAGAGUUUCAGGAACCUGAUUUCCAGAGAUUUUUGAGUUCUUUUUAUACCAGCUGAAGUGAAUGAAACCAUUUUCUGAAAAUUGGGUUCCAGAUAUUAAAGUCUGGCAGGCAAAGCUGGGUUAUCCAAAAUUAGAUGCCAAUUCUGAAAGGAUAAAUUGUACGUGGUGAUCUCAUGGGGGAAGUCUGAGACAGAGCCAAGACUAGAAUCUAAAUUUCUGAUGCCCAGUCCUGUGCAUUUACCACAACACUGAUUUUUUAAUACUUUGAGCUUGAAUACUGACUUGUUAAAAAAAUAAAUGCAGUUUUCAAAACACAUCCACAGCAUAUGCAAAAUAGUGUUUUGGUGUAAUUGGUUGAAUUCUGGUAGCUGAAGUAAAUUUGCACCUCAAAUUUUCAAAGAAAGGGGUUUCAAAUAAAUUCAUUCUUUGCUGCAGUGCAGUUGAACCUCAUAAGAAUGAAUGUUACUUUUAACAAAUUGAUUAAUGAUUUUUUUUUUUUACCAUUGUUUAUCUGUUUUCUGCACUUUCAGAUUCAGUUUUUACCAAAUAUUUUACAUGGCUAUAUAGGUGGUUGCUGAAAAAUACAGCAGGAGAUGAAAACAUCUGUUCUUUGGCUUCCUGGUCUAUGGGAUGCAGGAACAGGAAAGCCACUGUCCUGCUGUUCUGCAGGGGGUUUGAUGCUCUCCUCCCUGAGCUCUCCUGCUCAGGCUCCUGCAGUGCUUGGAGAGCUCUCUACAAUAUUUUGAAGACCAGGGAGGUUUGGUUGAAUAAGAGACACUUCUGAAUUAAGUGCAAUGUCUUUCAUUAAGUAGCUUUUCCAGAAGGUAUACAAAUUAUCAAUAUCUGAUAUUGCUGGGAGUUUGAACUGCACCUUCCACCUUUUUUUCAAAAGACUUGGUAUUUUUAAGGCCUUCUGUUUUUGACAAAGUCCAAAAACUUACUAAGAUUGAGAAUGAAAAUGGGGAAAUAAACAGGGAAAUAAACAGCACCACUACCAUAAAGUAAGGAAAACCUCUCUUCUCUUGAUACACUGAAAAAUAUCACAAACUUUCAAUUAGCAAUUUUGCAGAGAUUAUUUGCCCCGAAUUUCAAAUUGAAUAAGACAAACAAGAAGUAAAGGAAAGGAAAUACAAGUGUGUGUUUGUUUUUAAAUUGCAGGUGGACACUGGAUGUAGUCAAAACUUUUGUGUGAGAAUUUUUAUGCUUCCUGACAAGGGAGAUAUUGAUAUCUCAGACUAGAUAGUAAUAGAGGAAUGUGCAUUUACUUGGAUUCCAGUAGCCAGGCUGAUGAAGAGAAAGUCUCAGAUGUGAAUAAAAGACUGUGAUGUUGCUGCCUAAUUUAUUAAAAGCAAAGAACUGUCAGACAUCUGAAGUGUGCAAAGCAUAAGACUGGCUCUAAUUUCUCAGUUUUGGCAGUUUUGAUGCCACUUGUACUUUAAGUUAAUAUUAAUCGUUGGGGGGAAAAAAAUGCACCCUUUCUCCCUUUAAUCUUUCUCCCUUUAAUCAACAGUUUAUAAAUGCAGUAGCACAUUUCAGAUGCCAGUAAUGUAUUUUUAUCUGGCAAUUGAUUAAUGUGCAUAACAAGAUGGAUGAGCCUGUCUGCUGAGACACAGAACAGUGAGACACAGCACAGUGCUGCUUGAGAAAGAAAUAAUCUUUUUAUUAUUAUUAUGUUCAUUAUGUCUAAUAGCUUUGGAUAUCCAUGGAAAUCAAUAGCUGCUCGUAACAUGGAUACAACAUAUUUCAUCGUUGUUUUACUUUCUGUUACUUACGUAAAUAUUUUUUUUCUGAUUAUUUUCGAGGAAACAUCGUUUCUAUGUAGAAUUAGCUUUACAAGCAAAGCCAGUGUUAGGAGAAACACCAUGAUCAGGUUACUAAUCAGCCCGUGAGUGAGUGGGGAUUUAAAACAGGAGGUGGCAGUCUUGAGUAGCAACUCACUGCUGUUUAGGCUCAGCUCCAAAUGGAGUCAGAGCUGGGCACAAAUAACUCAGGAUCUCAACCCUUUUUCUUAAACAUCACAACAACAAGCAGCUUGGAUAUUGAAGAUGGCAACAACUAGAUUUGUCCUUUGUGCCUGACAAUGAAAAAUGGAGUUAAGUUAUGUAAUAAUUUUAAUGUGUUUUUUCUUAGAUUUUUUUAAUAAUUGGAUCAAUAUUUGUAGAAGGACAGACUAUAGCAAAUUGCAGAGGCAGAAUUUAGUUGUUCUCAUUCUCAUCUGGGUUUGCUUCUUCUAACUAGGAAAGUCAUGUUGCAAACAAGAAUAAGUCCUGAUGAAAUAUGGAAUUGUUUUGUUCAAAUAGGAGGUGUGCCUAAUUCCAGUCUCCUUUUUGGUAUCCUGGAAGGUUGGGUGAUCCUUCAUCCCCUAACUGUGAUCUACAGGCAAAUCAUGAGGUACUUCCAUCUCCCUCGUGAACUACCAUGAAGUAAUGGCAAGAUAACCUACUUUUAUUAAUAAUAUCACCGAUUGCAAUUUUCUAAUCAACAAAAUCAGCACAAAACUUUGCAACUACACAGUCUCAGCAGAGAGGGGAACUUGAUGACAUCAUUGUUUUUCCCCUGUGAAAAUGCUUAGUUGGAAGAAGACAAAAAAAGAUUAAAUGAAUCAGAGUAGCUCCAUGCAACCUCCCACUUCUUAUCUUUUUGAAGAAUGUGAACCAUUCAGUGGUAAAAAAUGUAACCAAGAGAGUUCUGCAGCGUUGUUCAUUUCUGCUGGGUAUUCAUAGUAGGAAUUUUACUUGCAAAUGUUAUUGUAAAUUUUGUAUAUCUAUUGAUUGGUUUUGCCUAUAGCUCCACAUUUUAAAAAUAUGUAUUUUGGGCCAAAUCUCAAUUUACAUUUUUUUUCAUUCAGAUGCACGUGAAAAGUCUUCCUUUAAAAGUUUGCUAAGCAACAAAUCCUUCAAAUAGAACAAGUUGCAACUCUGCUCUGCCUGAAAUGGAUACAUGCAUGCAAAGUCUCAGUCCAUAACAGAACUAAUUUUCUGAGCUUGUUUUUUGUCACAGUCUGUAGGCAAAAAAUAGAAUUUUCUUCUUUUUUUCCCCCUGUGGUUUGAAUGCUCCAGUUAACCUGUGCAUGCACAAAUCUGUCUGCUCCACACAGACACAACAAUCUACCUGAAUGGAUCUGAGUGUGAGAUCAGGUUUUCUGUAACAGUCCCAUCCCAUCAGACACAGCAGACAUUGUCAGGGAACCUUCUGUUUAAUCUUGUUAUUAAGCAAACAUUUCCCUAAGUUUGCAUAAGCAGUCGCCCAGCCAUGGCUUCCACAUAGUCCUUUAAUAACUAGCAGGGUGUGGUAAUUAAAUUUCUUCAUCCUUCUCUUCUGACUACCAAAGAGAAAUUUAUUCUUUGGUCAACUUCUUACUUGCUUUGUUUCUUCACUUCCUUUGUUCUGUGCAGAUCAGGGAGUUCAUAGAUGUCUUUUUAGUGCAAAAAGUGUCUGGGGGAUGAUUCUUGGAGCCCAAUCCCCUAAAGAAACAAGGCCUGUGUGAUCAUACUCAGCCUAUUCCAACAUUCAGCACCAAUAACAUGGGACCUCAUUGGCCAUUUCACUUCAUGUGGAAGAGAGACAGAGGACCCCAGUCUUCCAGCUUCCUAACAAUUUUAUGAAAAUGGAUGGCUGGGGGGAGGAAAGAAAGCCUACUACUACCUUCUACUAUCAAGGCAUUUGUUAAUUUAGAAGAUGUAUGCUAAGAUUCAAAUAUCAAAAUAUAAAAAAAUUUAGAUUUAUUCGAAGUCAAGAUGAGCAACUCACUUUUUGCAUGUGUGUGUUUUUUAAGUAAGGCCACUGAAACUGUGAAAGAAUGUGCAAAACUUGCUUCAUAGACAUGAUCAGUAAUGUUCAUUGAACAUUAGAUUGAAGGCUGAGACUUAACAGUUGUCCUGUGCAUUAGUUCAAUUUUCACUCCUUCUCAGCAUUUAUGGGAUUGGAGAAUGUGCCAAAAAGUAUUUUGCUCUAUGAAGAAGUACAAUAAACUUGGGCCUUACAAUGUCUAUGUUGCUGGAAAAAUAUGGUUUUCUAUUUUUUAAGCAUAUGUUUUUGGAGUCUUAUAGACUCUGUUCCUGAUUGUUGAUUUUCUUAGGAUAGGAGUAGCUGCAGCCUUGUCUAGUUUAGGGCAUGGACAGAUGUUUUGUUUCAGAUCCAGAUGUGCAGAGGAAGGAGGUGUUCCUUCCACAGCCACAUGGGUCCUUCUAGCUGCUACAAACUGACCUGUCACCGGGAUGUUUUUAUAAGUGCUCCCUAAUUCAUAUUAACCACAAUUAGGUAUGUUAUUUUAAGCAGUUUAAAAUCCUGAUCUGAGAUAUGGCAGCUGACUUUGCCUCACCUGAGUUAGCAGUACUCCCAUAAACUCUUCUGUUAGCACAUCUGAAGAGUGGUGAGGAACUUCUGCAGUAGUUAAUCCUGUCCGCUGGCUCUGCUAAGCAUACAAGAAAUCACCUCCACAUAGCCUGGAGGCCUCCUGACAAUUCACAAUCAUGUGGCAUCAUGGGCAAGGCCUCUGCCUGCACAAAAGGUAAAUGAAUACCAGCUGGGGAUUUGAAUAUCUAAGCUUAGCAAAUAGAAAGAAAAAGACUGACUCAUGUGCUUUUACAAACUAAUGCCAGCGAGCAGAAUCCCAUUUUAAAUAAGACCACAAGAGAAAAUGGUUUCUUGUGCUGGGAAAAAUUGUACAGAGACGGAAACGGUAUUUGAAGAACUGUGUAGUGGUUUGGGGCACUAAGAAGAUCUAUUAUGAGUGUGGAAAAAAGUCCUCAUCAAGUAUACACUGGAGUUUUUAAGAAGAAAAUGUACUGGGAAUACAGCUUGGACUGUGAAUGGCAUGAGAAGAUAUUUAGGGAACCCUAGCCCUGUGUGUGGUAGGAAAGCCUAAGAGAAAUGAGCAAGAAAUCCACGAGCAAUGGAAUCAGUGAAGCCUGGUUUCCAAUGGAUUUGUGCCUCAUGCAAGUUUUUCCCCUGGCCUGUAUGGUCUUUGUCCUAUAUAUAUUGUCAGAUGCCUGGUAAGAAUGGGGCUUUCCCUAUAUCCUUUCUGAUGGCUGGAGGCACCAUCUGGAUCUCCUCUUCUUCCCAGCUGGCUGACUGCUUCCACUAAAUCUGGGACAAUUUUGUUUCUUGAAACCUGUGAUUCACUUCCAAAUUCAUUUGAAAAUCAGAUACUGGAUUCAAAAGUUACUGGAAGAGGAAGUGAAGACAGCGGAAUAGGCACUCAUACACUAAAUAUGAUGACAAAGGCCUUUCUUCCUUAGGAAAUCAGAACAGUUGGAGAAGGCACUUCCUUCAGAUUUGGUGAUUCCAGCACUGGCAAGAUCGCCUCAGACUGGGGCACAGAAAGGGUAAAUGGGAGCAGCACUAAAGCCUGUUUUCAUGUUGCAGACCUGUUCCAUAGAGAGCUGAGGUAUAGAUUCACAACACUGUACUCCUGUUGUGGGUUUGUUGGCAUUUAUUUGAAACUUGGUUAUUUAUUAGGUGAAAAUAUACAUAGUUAGCAUUUCAAGUCUUGGUCUAAAUCUGUAUGUAGAUGACUUUUUUUAAACUGUUUCUUACACCAGUGUUACUGAUAUGGUUAAUUUUGCUUAACCUCUUAGUCAUUCCAAAAUUAUGUGUAUUUUUCUAGAAGGCAGCUACAGUGGGGAUGAAUGAGAAAACAAAAUCCAGUAACAGAUGCACAAAGCAACCUACCUGAACGUGUAGGUCAAGUUUAAUAGGUACAUUUUGUGAACCAGAGCAAUUUUCUGUAGUUGGUAUCAACAUCUUCAUCUUUGAUCUUCACCUCAGUUGGUCAGAACUCCAUUGUUUUGCUAAUGCUUUGGUUGACUUGAAAAAUAAUCCUCCUUUGACUAUUUGAGAACCUGUAGCUGAAAUAUCUGGUAGUGGCCUAGGAAAAAAAAACACACAUAAAUGAAAAAUAAAAGAGGAAACUAUCAGACGAACUGUUCGGAAUAAACAGCUGUGCACUUGUCCCCUCUGUCUCUGAAAACUUCAUUUAGCUCCAGGCAUAGGUUUAAAUAAACUACCUCAUGUUUACUAGCACCAGCUAAAAAUGUAUUCUGUAGAGAGAUUAUACACAGUGUAUACCUCGUGUCAGUCUUUGUAAGAAAGAAAGGUAGGUUUCAUGUAGAUUAUAUCAUUGCAUGUAAAAAAAAUAUACAUUUUGACUGCACAAAACAAAGUGCUUUAUCUAAGUGCUUAUCCAAGUGCAAACGUUUUUCCCCCAAAUACAAAAUAACUGUUGAGAUAGCUAGGGUGGAAGAAUCUGUAUAGAGAGGUGUGAUAAAAAGACUUCUUUGCCUCAGUGGAAGAAUGUACCAUUCAGUAGGGCUUGUAACAGAAUAAUAUUUCAGUUAAACAAACUGUAACUUGUGCUUCUAGAAAGUAAUAAAGCUUCUACAAGAACUGUAUGUAGACUAGAUCCUAGGAAAUGUUGUCUAACAGCACAGCUCUUAUCCCGGGAUAAGUUCCUUUUAAAUCUGAGGAAGUUAACUCCUAUUCCCCAUUUUUAUUUUAUUUCUUAUAUUACUCUAUGAUAUAGCAGGCUUCCUUAUUUAAUUCCUGCCUUCCAAGCCUUAUUUUUCCAAUUUUAACAAGCAACGAGCUUGCAGGGCAUGAGCCUUCUUUCAAGAGGCGCAGUUUAUAAUACCGAACAAUCCCGAGUUAGUGAGAUUAGGAUUCCCCUCUGUAAGGAAUUCAGGGUGGUGUCAAACCUGCCAAAUGACUUUCACAACACUCUGACCCAGGUGGUGUGACCUGGGUAUUUGAAUGACUCCUGCCUGAGCAGUGCUGGUGGUGGUGUAAACUAGCACAGGUAACCUGACUGUCCAGAUCUGUGCUUGCAUAAGUUUAGCCAACACCUGAAUCAACUGCAGGGCCAAGAAAAGCUGUAGUGGUGGAGUUUCAGGCUACUCAGAACGUUUUCCUGCACUGAACAUUGUAUUUGCCAGCAGGUUAGAACUGAGCCUUGUGAGCCAUCUGUGAGUUGCUGGGUAUGUAUGGAAAACAAGAGCUGUCUUCCAAUCCAGUGCUUCCUUUAGAUAUCAUGAAGGUUAAGUGCCUUCUUUCUGUUAAUAUCAACAAUUUAUGUACUAACUACUAAGUGAAUCUAAAUGAAUAGUUUGGGGUGAUCUUUGUACUUAGCCCAGUAUGCAAGUAAGAUGGUUCUCUUGAUUCUGGGAGAGGAAGAGGUCUGUUUGUGCAACCUUGGCGGCAGACAUGGGUAUGUGUUCCUGGCUGCAGAAGGGGCAAAUGUUUAAGAAAGCUGGAGACUGGGAGACUGCUUGUGAGAAGUAUUACUACAUGUUCAUUCUAGCCUGAAUAGUCUUCCUUUGACACUAUGUAUUGGAAGUGUCUGUAUCAUGGAAAACAAGAUUUAACCACAAAGGUUGUGUAGAGUGUGACCCUGGUGCCCCAGAGCACAGAUCAUACCCAUAGCAGCCAUGAUCUUCCUCUUAACAUACUCAGUGUAAGUCAGAGCAUCUUGGGUCACAUUUUCCAGUACCACUUUCAGUGUUCCUUGGGUAGUAUUUUUAAUAUUAUCAGCUGAAAAAUAACUGUUGCUCAAGAAUAUUUCACCAAUUUCAUUGGCAAAUAUCUAAGAAAAUCUUAAAGGUGAAGCUCAUGAUCAGGACAGUCUUUCAUUUAACUUCUUUUUCCUUUCCUCCCACCUACAUUUUUUCACCCUUGAAGAUGGCAAAGCCUUGUAUAUGGAGAUUUUUACUCACUGAUCUCAUGCCCUGAAUUAUGACCUCUUCAUUCCAGACCAGUUUUUCUGGUAGUCAUUUAUCUACCUCUGCUAGAUAUGGGGAUAGUAAAGUUAACAAAAAGCAUGUAGUUUAACUUCUAGAACCCAGGGUAAAAAUGUAGUGUCAAAGCAUGGAAAGUCUGGGUUUUCCUAAUGAAAAUGAAUAAACUGCAUUAUCAAGACAGUAAAGAGGGAGUCCCACGAUGGUAUUGUACACAGCUUUGCUUUUUUUAUUACACAACUUCACUUUCUUAUUGAAGAGAAGUAAUUGAUAAAGUAAAAUGAAUCACACCCUAAAAUUCCAGUCACUUCUCUCAGCAAAUAAGGAGAAACAGGCAAUUCAGAAGAAAAUUCAUUCCCUCAAUCUUUGAUACCCAUUUCAGGAUGGAGGGAAGAACUCAUCCCUCAGGAGGAGGACGGGAUGCUGUCUUGUAUGUGCAGCUAUCAUUGCUUAGCUUUCAAAUUAAUACCAUUAUAACAACGUUCUCCAACCUGUUUUUGUGACUGGAAACAAAUGAAAAUGCAGUCAAUAUUUGCAAAUGCAAAGUUCUGCAGCAAUGUAAGUAAUUCUGCUGUAUUCCACCCUGCUCCACAGAGCAGCAGAGAAGGUUUUUUAAUUUACCCACUAAGAACAAAGUGCUGACUUGGCUCUGUGCUUCUUGGAAACGGUCUUUGCUCUGCUAUUUCCUGUUAUUUUCUCAAGGUUUGUGUUUCAGAUGCGAACGGGGACCUGCUCAAAAUCUCUUUACGUUUGUAGCGGUGUGACAAGAUUCCUUGGACAGAUGGGUGUGGCUUGCAGGUAAACAGGGCAUGAAGAGGGAAAGCACGGCAGAAAGUUUUCCCGUUUCAGUUCUGAGGCUUUGCUGCUUCACCGCCAGCACACCCUGGUGAGCAGCCGCGUCCAGCUCUGACCUUGCUUGACACGUUCAGCAGAGGCUGCUAAAUCUCGUUUCCUCAGACUUCCAGCGCUUCGCAUGAUUGUUCCUCCUUCCAGUCCGAGACACGGCCCCUCGGUGAGCCGGUUCGUGCUCGCUGUUGUCGCGUUGGCAGCGGCGCUCGGCAGCUCCUGUCACCCAGCUCUGCUGCAGUGUGACAUCGGGAGCUGUCUGCGGGCCAGGCAGCGCUGCAGGACAAGCAGGAACUUCUGAACGCUCCUGGCUGCAUUGACAGAUGAUUAAAUUUAAAGACGAUGCAUUGCCACUGCGUUUGUUUGAAUGAUUGUGGUGCUUUGGUGUCUGCUAGUGUUGGUUGACAGGGUAAUUUAUAGAGUUUUGUUUGUGUGUCUUGUGAGAAGUGAAUAUAUCGCUGCAGUGACACCUCACCUAUGUUGGUGGCCUUAUUUUUGGAUGCCAAGUUGAAUAAAGUGCUGUCAGAAUCUGCAGAUGACCUGGCAGAAACUUAAUGAUUGUCCUUAAAACCAUUUGUACUUUCUGUUUUGUGACCUUGGCAGAUCAGCGAUUGGGAAAUUUUUUCACAUGCUGUCUGCACCUGCCAGCUUUGCCAUGCAGCAAUAGGUCAUUUCCUUUCCAAACAUGACUGGCUUCUGGUAUCAGUGGGAAAUUGGCAGCUCUUAUAUGAAAGCAGUAUGAUUCCAGUUUCCUCUUUUGGUGAGAUAGGAAAGGAUUCCUUAUUGUUAUGGGCCCAGAGCCCUAUCAGAGCUCUCUUCCCCACUUAACUGCUUUUUCAGUCACUCAAAACCAGUUUGUCAAUACUAUACAGCAUCAUCUAUUGUACUGCCUAUGAGAUUGCCCCAAGUCCAUUUUUUUCCCAGUAUCAUGGGCUUAAUUCUAAACAGAACUGCAAAACCUAAAGUGAAAAUAUUUCUAUCUUCUUCUGUCUGUUGGUCUUUCUUCCUCAUUUCUGUGAAAGAACAAGAGAGGGCAGAAUAAAGUGUCUACCUGGUGGUAGGGCUUAAGAAACGACACGGAAUUGAAGUGUACUUUUCUCCCUAUUUCUUUGUCAUAUCAAAAAGUUGAUGUGAAGUGGCACUCAUGGUGCUUUCAGUUCUCAAGAAAAGACAGAAAGCUGUUGCAAUGACUUCUUUGUAAGGGGUCUUUAAAUCAGCAGACAGGGAAUCAGUAGUGUUGGGCAAUUGCCUCACAUCCAGCCUGAAGUAUCACCUUUGCAAAGAUCUACAAAGGAGUUAGGUUGCUGACAGUGAGGUGGGGAAUUUUGUUUCCACUCUUAACAGCGCAAAGCAGCUGCAUUGGCUUUACAGGUGAUUAAAAGGAUUGCUCUCUCUGAAAGUCAGGGUAAAUUGUUAGUACACCCAAUGUGUGUCUUUUUCUUCCUGCACUUACCGGAGAUGAAAAUAAAAUCGUGGUUUUGUCUGUGCUUUCGUGUGGCAUUAUUAAUGAAACAGGUAAUCCCAUUUGUCUUAAAAUCAAGGCAAUGAUCUCUUGUGUUCUGUCCAUCUGUUCCAGACACCAACAGCAUGUUCAUCACCAUGGUAUUGGAACAGUCUGGUACACAAAUAGCAAUCAGCAGUUAUUAACAUAAUAUUAUUACUUGGUCCAUAAAGCUUAAUAUUAGCUGAGAUACCAGACAUCACACAUUGUGAGACAGUUUCUCAGAUGAUGUACUUUGUUCUGCCAGAAUAUGAUAAUAUUCUGUAUUAAAAUCAGUAAAAGGAUGCUUUUUUUGUUUGUUUGUGUCAUGCAACAAAAAUUGCCAGCACAAUAUACAUAUAUAAAAAUUUUCUCUUUACAUCCAGUAAUUUACAAUCCAUCACUAUCUAUUUGUAGAACAGCAUUCUUUAGAAAACAAAAGGGCUUUUUUUAUUAUUUUUUACAUGCAUUAGAUCAAAUCAAACCACUGAAAGUUCCCCUUUCCUUCCUUUCUCCCCCAGCUGCUGAUGUAGACUGAUACAGGAGUGGGUCUUUACAUGCAGAAGACCAUUUAUCUCAAACUUGACCUAGACAAGUUUAAGUCUGUUCAGCAUGUGACCUCCUUCUGCGGUGCUGAAGGGGUGGCAUGUGAUUGCAGCCCACAAGGAAGUCCCUCAGAACAUCCUGAACACCCACAAAAUUUGGAUGUUUCGUACUUGUCCUAAUUCCCCUUCAUACAUCUCAUUUAUACAUGUACAGAAGUCCAACUUCAAAUAUCUCCUUUUUGUUUGGUCACUUUUUGCUAUUAUAUAACUUAAAGAUUUAUUUUUUUUUCGGAGUUGAAUAGCCAUACUUUUAAAAUCACUGGUAUUUAAAUUGCUGGUUAAAAUGAGUAGGUUCCUCCUGAGUGGCAUAUUUGUGCCUAUCAGGUUAAAUGAGUAGCCCUUCUAUAUCUCAUUUUUCUUCCCUUCUUAAUCAGAAUAUAUUCCUGGGAGACCUAUUUUGUAAGCCUGUCUACAGAGACUUCUAUAUAGCAGCAAGAUGGAGCCUUUUCAUCUUGAAGCUUCACAGUUACCAUGUAGCAACUAUGAAACAAAAGUGAAACCAAGGCAUUACGGGCCCCAGUUUUUAUACACGGCUUUUGCUUGCUUUAGAAGGCAAAUUGCUGCUAAAUUAACAUUUCUGUAAGCAUUAUGGUGCCCACACAAGUGCUGCUCUAAUGAAAGGGGACGUCUUUAUCUGAGCUGGUUGUGGUGAUGUUGGGAGGGACGAGCAGAUUGUGUCAGCCAUCAUUAUUCUUUUAGUGAACGUGAAACUUAACUGAUACUGGCAAUACUGGUUCUGUCUCCUUUUUUAUAUCAAUAGCUUUUUUUUUAAAAAAAGAAAGCUUAACUACAAUAAUUACCUACUAUUAAUAAUCAACUAUUAACUAUUACAAUAAACUGAUUAAAAAUGCAAAUAGAUUGUUAAGAACGUUGUUGUCAAGUGGGCUGUAUAUGUGUGGGCGGGUCAUCCAUUGGGAUGGAAAGGCCAACAGGAUGCUAGUUGUAAAAACAGAGGAUCAUCCCCUACAGGUCAGCUCUGCCUUGAACGCUUUUUGUGUUUAAAACUAAUAAAAUGAAUAAAAUUAAUAAAAAUGAGCUUUUGGCUCAGCUGUGGGAAGGAGUCCAAAGUCCUGGGUGACUUUCAUACAUGUCUAGAUACAAUGAAGGGCAAAGUGCAGCAUUUUUAUCCUGUCAUUCCCCGUUGUCACUCUCAGUUAUUAAGCAAGUGGUGGGUAUUAAGAUAAAGCUUGCCUGAAACAUUUAAUAGACAUUAUCUAUUAGACUGCAUGUGCCCCGUUUUAUUUCUUUCAGGGUCUGUCCCUCACUGGAUGCCAGACUGUCCUUCGGGAUAUAGCCCAGUGAGCAGGAGAAAAGUGUUUGAAUUUGGUAAAAUGGCCAUAAACAUAAAGAAAGAAACUGGAGCUGCUUCAUCAGUGCCAUAUCAUACUGUGGUUGGCCACAUGAAGAGGAUCAUAUUGAUGAAUUAGUGCAGCGACCCUCCCAGACAUGGAAGGAUACCUCUUACAAGAAAAUCCAUAGGUGACUAAUAGGUGGUAAAUAGUCUUUGAGAUCUGGGAGAAACAUUUUGGUGUAUCUGGAAAUCAAUCUAGAUCUGCCACUGUGGAUAUUUAGUCUUAAUUCAUGCUUUUCUACCACAUUUCAGAAUGUGUCCUGAGUCUGAA